rnacentral:rRNA from 1 species
AGAAUCAACGCUGGCGGCGUGCCUAACACAUGCAAGUCGCACGAGAAAAGGGAGCAAUCCCUGAGUACAGUGGCGCACGGGUGAGUAACACGUGAAUAAUCUACCUCCGAGUGGGGAAUAACUGAGAGAAAUCUUAGCUAAUACCGCAUAAUACCCACGGGUCAAAGCAGCAAUGCGCUUGGAGAGGAGUUCGCGGCAGAUUAGUUAGUUGGCGGGGUAAUGGCCCACCAAGACGAUGAUCUGUA